AGGCUAAGCUCAGCCUUAGUUUAAACUGUAUCUUUAUUUCUUACCUUGGCGCCAUAACUCUUUACUGCUCAAAUAGAACAGCUUUAGUUUUCUGUCUAUGCCUGGGGUUGGUAAAGUUUUUCCAUAAAAGGACAAGUAGUAGAUAUUUUAGGUUUUGCAGGCCAUACAGUCUCUGUGGUGCAACUAUUCGACCCUGCUGAGGGGCAUGGCUGUGUUCCAAUAAAACUUUAUUUACAAAAAUAGGCAUCCACAGGCCAUGGCUUACCAAUGCCUAAUCCAUUCAGUUCCUUUCUUAUAAAUCUGAGAGGAUACAGUUGUGAAGCAAGACAGAGUCAGAGUUGGGACUCCUGCCUCCCAUCUGAAACUACUGCUAUUCAUUACACAUUCCAAGGAAUUGUGGACAGUAGCCUUGUGUCCAUCAGAGGCCCAAGGAGAGUCA
rnacentral:lncRNA from 1 species